UACGUAGGGGGCAAGCGUUAUCCGGAUUUACUGGGUGUAAAGGGAGCGUAGACGGUUAUGUAAGUCUGGAGUGAAAGCCCGGGGCCCAACCCCGGGACUGCUUUGGAAACUGUGUAACUGGAGUACAGGAGGGGCAGGCGGAAUUCCUAGUGUAGCGGUGAAAUGCGUAGAUAUUAGGAGGAACACCAGUGGCGAAGGCGGCUUACUGGACUGUAACUGACGUUGAGGCUCGAAAGCGUGGGGAGCAAACAGG
rnacentral:rRNA from 1 species